rnacentral:rRNA from 1 species
CCUACGGGAGGCAGCAGUGGGGAAUAUUGCACACUGGGGGAAACCCUGAUGCAGCGACGCCGCGUGAAGGAAGAAGUAUUUCGGUAUGUAAACUUCUAUCAGCAGGGAAGAAAAUGACGGUACCUGACUAAGAAGCCCCGGCUAACUACGUGCCAGAAGCCGCGGGAAUACGUAGGGGGCAAGCGUGAUCCGGAUUUACGGGGUGUAAAGGGAGCGUCGGCGGUGCAGCAAGUCAGAAGUGAAAGCACGGGGCUCAACUCCGGGACUGCUUUUGAAACUGUUGAACUAGAUUGCAGGAGAGGUAAGUGGAAUGCGUGGUGUAGCGGUGAAAUGCGUAGAUAUUAGGCGGAACACCAGUGGCGAAGGCGGCUUACCGGGCUGUAAAUGACGCUGAGGCACGAAAGCGUGGGGAGCAAACAGGAUUAGAUACCCGAGUAGUC